CGUUUUCUGCGGUGUGCGCCAGCACACUCUACAUUUGCCUUGUUCCUAUAUACGGCCCCGGGUCGGCUUCACAUGGUUGUUGUGCAUGUCCGCCGCGUGCGGAAAGCCUUUAAGGCCAUGUAGCCCUCCCACCUGAUCCAAGCGGAUCAAGGUCGUUCGGUGGGCAGCGGCAUCGUGGUUGACGC
rnacentral:other from 1 species